rnacentral:tRNA from 1 species
GUGGGUAUAGCGUAGUUGGUUAACGCGUCAGUUUGUGGCACUGAAGAUCAUCGGUUCGAAUCCGAUUAUCCACC